rnacentral:pre_miRNA from 13 species
AGGUCUAAUCUGGAUGGCUGUGAGUUGGCUUAAUCUCAGCUGGCAACUGUGAGAUGCUCAUGUAAUCCCUCACAGUGGUCUCUGGGAUUAUGCUAAACAGAGCAAUUUCCUUAACCUGGUGG